rnacentral:SRP_RNA from 1 species
UGCUAGGCUUGAGCGGAGGGCUUGGCGUCCUCUACUAGCCGAAAUCGUCAUAGCGGCGCUGACAGCCGAGGGCGACGUAACCAGACUGGUGAAGGGCCCAGGGGCAACGAUGAGAUUCUGUCCCGUGGGGCUGGAAGUGGCGGUUAGUUUGGCCGGAGGGUCACGGCUACUGCCUUAAUCGUGGGAACCGGGUCAGGCACGGAAGUGAGCAGCCUUACUGCGUAUUACCAACGCUUGCGGGGUCGCGGAAUUGAGAAUGUUCCUGGAUCACCUUUCAGCGGUUCUGAGCGACAACCUCGGUGGCCUAGCA